rnacentral:lncRNA from 1 species
UGUUUGCAGAAAGGCAGGAAACUUUAUUGAAUAAUCUUUUCUUUGGGGUAGAGAAGUUGAGAAACCAAAGAGUAUCCAGGUUCAGGACGGGGGGUCCUGAGAGCAGAGGGACUGAGCCUUGGGUCCAGCAGCCCCUCCUCUCUCCUGCAGGGAACUGCCGGCUGUCUCCUCUUCUGGGUGCUGAAGACAGAGGGAGGGGACGCCAGGCAGAUUUAAGGCCUACGGACAUCAGAAGUGCGGCGA